GUUGAACGCUGGCGGCAUGCUUUACACAUGCAAGUCGAACGGUAGAGGGGGCAACCCCUUGAGAGUGGCGAACGGGUGAGUAAUGCAUCGGAACGUGCCCAGUCGUGGGGGAUAACGCAGCGAAAGCUGUGCUAAUACCGCAUACGAUCUCGGGAUGAAAGCGGGGGACCGAAAGGCCUCGCGCGAUUGGAGCGGCCGAUGUCAGAUUAGGUAGUUGGUGGGGUAAAGGCUCACCAAGCCAACGAUCUGUAGCUGGUCUGAGAGGACGACCAGCCACACUGGGACUGAGACACGGCCCAGACUCCUACGGGAGGCAGCAGUGGGGAAUUUUGGACAAUGGGCGCAAGCCUGAUCCAGCAAUGCCGCGUGCAGGAAGAAGGCCUUCGGGUUGUAAACUGCUUUUGUACGGAACGAAAAGGUCUGGGUUAAUACCCUGGGCACAUGACGGUACCGUAAGAAUAAGCACCGGCUAACUACGUGCCAGCCGCCGCAGUAA
rnacentral:rRNA from 1 species